rnacentral:lncRNA from 1 species
GAGAGAGCAGUUUUCUAACAACAGGAGGCCUGUGUGAGCUCGGAAACUCUGAGCCUUGGGUGUAUUUUUCAAGUUAGCCAAACCUCUUCUGGAGACUGCGAUGGAUCUGGGUGCCAUUGUCACAGAUGAAACAGUUACUUCAUUCAUCCAUCUAUCCAGUAAGAUGCUGUUGAGGUCUCUGGGCCCGCAGAUAUGACUUACUUCACUCUUGCAAGUUAUCAAC